rnacentral:tmRNA from 1 species
GGGGGUGACUGGUUUCGACGUUGGAUGUCGAACCAGGGGAAGCGGGUCGAGGAUGCGGGGUUAUCUCGUUAACGCCCUCCGCAAACCAUAGGUGCCGAAUCCAAGCGCACCGACUUCGCCCUCGCCGCCUGAGCGAGCCCGAAGUCCGUCAGCCCGGAAGUGCUCCUGAUCCGGUAGCUGGCGCCAUCUAAGGAGCCACUGCUCUACGCCGUCGUCGGUGCGGCGUAGGGGACUCUCAGCCGACUGAGUCCGGCAGCGACGUUGCUCGCGAGAGCGCUGGGACUGAGAAACCAUCACAGCGAGCUGCACCCGGAGAAGCCCUGGGGGAACGACGACGGACGCGGGUUCAAUUCCCGCCACCUCCACUG